GGGUUGUGAGGUUAAGCGACUAAGCGUACACGGUGGAUGCCCUGGCAGUCAGAGGCGAUGAAGGGCGUGCUAAUCUGCGAUAAGCGCCGGUAAGGUGAUAUGAACCGUUAUAACCGGCGAUACCCGAAUGGGGAAACCCAGUGUGACUCGUCACACUAUCAUUAACUGAAUCCAUAGGUUAAUGAGGCGAACCGGGGGAACUGAAACAUCUAAGUACCCCGAGGAAAAGAAAUCAACCGAGAUUCCCCCAGUAGCGGCGAGCGAACGGGGAGGAGCCCAGAGCCUGAAUCAGCAUGUGUGUUAGUGGAAGCGUCUGGAAAGGCGCGCGAUACAGGGUGACAGCCCCGUACACAAAAGCGCAUGUGCUGUGAGCUCGAUGAGUAGGGCGGGACACGUGGUAUCCUGUCUGAAUAUGGGGGGACCAUCCUCCAAGGCUAAAUACUCCUGACUGACCGAUAGUGAACCAGUACCGUGAGGGAAAGGCGAAAAGAACCCCGGCGAGGGGAGUGAAAAAGAACCUGAAACCGUGUACGUACAAGCAGUGGGAGCACCCUUUGGGUGUGACUGCGUACCUUUUGUAUAAUGGGUCAGCGACUUAUAUUCUGUAGCAAGGUUAACCGAAUAGGGGAGCCGGAGGGAAACCGAGUCUUAACCGGGCGUUAAGUUGCAGGGUAUAGACCCGAAACCCGGUGAUCUAGCCAUGGGCAGGUUGAAGGUUGGGUAACACUAACUGGAGGACCGAACCGACUAAUGUUGAAAAAUUAGCGGAUGACCUGUGGCUGGGGGUGAAAGGCCAAUCAAACCGGGAGAUAGCUGGUUCUCCCCGAAAGCUAUUUAGGUAGCGCCUCGUGAAUUCAUCUCCGGGGGUAGAGCACUGUUUCGGCUAGGGGGCCAUCCCGGCUUACCAACCCGAUGCAAACUGCGAAUACCGGAGAAUGUUAUCACGGGAGACACACGGCGGGUGCUAACGUCCGUCGUGAAGAGGGAAACAACCCAGACCGCCAGCUAAGGUCCCAAAGUCAUGGUUAAGUGGGAAACGAUGUGGGAAGGCCCAGACAGCCAGGAUGUUGGCUUAGAAGCAGCCAUCAUUUAAAGAAAGCGUAAUAGCUCACUGGUCGAGUCGGCCUGCGCGGAAGAUGUAACGGGGCUAAACCAUGCACCGAAGCUGCGGCAGCGACACUGUGUGUUGUUGGUAGGGGAGCGUUCUGUAAGCCUGCGAAGGUGGCCUGUGAGGGUUGCUGGAGGUAUCAGAAGUGCGAAUGCUGACAUAAGUAACGAUAAAGCGGGUGAAAAGCCCGCUCGCCGGAAGACCAAGGGUUCCUGUCCAACGUUAAUCGGGGCAGGGUGAGUCGACCCCUAAGGCGAGGCCGAAAGGCGUAGUCGAUGGGAAACGGGUUAAUAUUCCCGUACUUGGUGUUACUGCGAAGGGGGGACGGAGAAGGCUAUGUUGGCCGGGCGACGGUUGUCCCGGUUUAAGUGUGUAGGUGUGUGUUCCAGGUAAAUCCGGUUCACUUUAACACUGAGGCGUGACGACGAGGCACUACGGUGCUGAAGCAACAAAUGCCCUGCUUCCAGGAAAAGCCUCUAAGCAUCAGGUAACAUCAAAUCGUACCCCAAACCGACACAGGUGGUCAGGUAGAGAAUACCAAGGCGCUUGAGAGAACUCGGGUGAAGGAACUAGGCAAAAUGGUGCCGUAACUUCGGGAGAAGGCACGCUGACACGUAGGUGAAGUGAUUUACUCAUGGAGCUGAAGUCAGUCGAAGAUACCAGCUGGCUGCAACUGUUUAUUAAAAACACAGCACUGUGCAAACACGAAAGUGGACGUAUACGGUGUGACGCCUGCCCGGUGCCGGAAGGUUAAUUGAUGGGGUCAGCGCAAGCGAAGCUCCUGAUCGAAGCCCCGGUAAACGGCGGCCGUAACUAUAACGGUCCUAAGGUAGCGAAAUUCCUUGUCGGGUAAGUUCCGACCUGCACGAAUGGCGUAAUGAUGGCCAGGCUGUCUCCACCCGAGACUCAGUGAAAUUGAACUCGCUGUGAAGAUGCAGUGUACCCGCGGCAAGACGGAAAGACCCCGUGAACCUUUACUAUAGCUUGACACUGAACAUUGAGCCUUGAUGUGUAGGAUAGGUGGGAGGCUUUGAAGUGUGGACGCCAGUCUGCAUGGAGCCGACCUUGAAAUACCACCCUUUAAUGUUUGAUGUUCUAACGUGGACCCGUUACCCGGGUUGCGGACAGUGUCUGGUGGGUAGUUUGACUGGGGCGGUCUCCUCCUAAAGAGUAACGGAGGAGCACGAAGGUUGGCUAAUCCUGGUCGGACAUCAGGAGGUUAGUGCAAUGGCAUAAGCCAGCUUGACUGCGAGCGUGACGGCGCGAGCAGGUGCGAAAGCAGGUCAUAGUGAUCCGGUGGUUCUGAAUGGAAGGGCCAUCGCUCAACGGAUAAAAGGUACUCCGGGGAUAACAGGCUGAUACCGCCCAAGAGUUCAUAUCGACGGCGGUGUUUGGCACCUCGAUGUCGGCUCAUCACAUCCUGGGGCUGAAGUAGGUCCCAAGGGUAUGGCUGUUCGCCAUUUAAAGUGGUACGCGAGCUGGGUUUAGAACGUCGUGAGACAGUUCGGUCCCUAUCUGCCGUGGGCGCUGGAGAACUGAGGGGGGCUGCUCCUAGUACGAGAGGACCGGAGUGGACGCAUCACUGGUGUUCGGGUUGUCAUGCCAAUGGCACUGCCCGGUAGCUAAAUGCGGAAGAGAUAAGUGCUGAAAGCAUCUAAGCACGAAACUUGCCCCGAGAUGAGUUCUCCCUGAGACUUAGAGUCUCCUGAAGGAACGUUGAAGACGACGACGUUGAUAGGCCGGGUGUGUAAGCGCAGCGAUGCGUUGAGCUAACCGGUACUAAUGAACCGUGAGGCUUAACCUUACAACGCCGAAG
rnacentral:rRNA from 1 species